AAACUCGAUUUCCUGAGUAGCGGCGAGCGAAAGGGAAAGAGCCCAAACCAGUGUGCGUGCAUGCUGGGGUUCGGACCGCGGAGGUGAUUCUGCAAGGGUAAUGGAAUGGUUUUGGGAAAGCCAGCCGGAGAGGGUGAAAGCCCCGUACAUGAAACCUGAGCGGACACAGCGGGAUCCAGAGUAGGUCGAGACACGUGGAACCUUGACUGAA
rnacentral:rRNA from 16 species